rnacentral:rRNA from 1 species
UACGAAGGGGGCGAGCGUUGUUCGGAUUUACUGGGCGUAAAGGGCGCGCAGGCGGUUCUGUUUGUCGAGUGUGAAAGCCCCGGGCUCAACCUGGGAACUGCGCUCGAAACGGCGGAACUAGAGUUCGGGAGAGGAGAGUGGAAUUCCCAGUGUAGAGGUGAAAUUCGUAGAUAUUGGGAAGAACACCGGUGGCGAAGGCGGCUCACUGGCUCGUUUCUGACGCUCAGGCGCGACAGCGUGGGGAUCAAACAGG